GGCAGCACAGUCCUGUUAGGUUAAACAACAUCACUGAUCAUUUUUUUAUAAUUUGAAAAAUUUCUGUGGAACCAUUGGUCUCAUGCUGCAGAAGACACACAUCACUGUUUUUUAAGUAAUAGAAGGAUACAGUACCUCUGUGUUCUCCUCAUAUUUACCUUCCAAUUCAGUUGAUUUUCACUGUUGUUCUUUGUUGCCAUUGGAGAACUAGUUGUUGUUAACAAUACAAAUGAAUUAAUAUUAUAUAAAGCCCAAUAUUAUUUUCAGGAAGCUCUACAGGACAGCAUCCUUACAACUAACUCAAUUUAAUGUUACAUUGAUAGCAGUGUACCAGGCCAUGGGACCCUGUGAGCAGGGCCACAGCAGACAAACCCACCUUUGCUUGCUGUGAAUUUGAGUGAGGAAAGGAGUAGCUGAUCUUUUGGCCGCAGGAUUCUCUUCAAUGUAACCAGCCCACACACACAGCUACAGCAUGUUAGCGUUACCAAACUCAGAAUAAAAUAAUAAAAUAUGUUGCAUUGGAACAGGAACUGUGAGUCUCAGGCUCUGCUCUCUUCCCUUCUCUCAACCUAACUCAAUAACCGCACAUACCGGGUAACUUGAAGAGGAUCUGUGUCUGAACCUUGUUCUGUCACUACUGGGGUCCCCCAAGGCUCUGUCCUUGGUCCUCUUCUCUUUGUACAUCAACCGUCUCGGCUCCACUGACUUGGCUUCUACCAUAGCUAUUCUGAUGACACCCAAAUAAUCCUGUUUUUUCCACAAUCUGAGACACAAAUCUGUUCCCGUUUGACUGACAUCUCUCCGUGGAUGGCCGCACACCACCUGAAAAUUAACCUUGAACAAGACUAAAUCUCUUUUCCUUGCAGAGAAAGGCUCCUGACUGUUACCUUCGGCUACUCGAUCGAAACCCCAGCCUUCACUGCUAGGAGCUUUUGUCUGACAUUCAACAGUCGAAUAGCCAAAUUGUUCCCCUUCUCACACAGAGAGGGCCGCAAGUUCUGAUACUUUCUCUGGUCAUCUCACGCCUUGCUUUCCUUGUAGCAGGUUGUGAGCCAUCCAACCUCUGCAGCUCAUCCAGAAUACAGCAGCUCGACGGGUCUUUAAAUACACUGUCACUACUACGCUCCCCCGCCACCUUCACUGGUUAUCAGUAGCUGCCCAGUCUACAUCCAGACCACGGUCAAACCUUACAUACCUGCCCACUCUCUCCACUCUACAUCUGCCAAUCUGCGUGUUGCUUCCUCACAGAGAGCUAAAUACUCUGCUGUCCUGGCUGAUGAAUGUUGGAAUAAGUUACCAAAUUACAUCAAGACAGCAGAAAGCCUAUAGAGCUUACGACGCAGACUUUAUUAGCACUUUGUAGUUUGGCUUUCUUGAAGAAAUUGAACUAGAGUGCACCUAUUAUAAGUCGCUUUGAAUAAAAAGUUCAAUUAAAUGAAAAAUGUAAACGUAAAGAGACAGAUUCACCCACCUUGAGAAAAGGAAGAGCCCAGGUGAAAUCAAUAUGCUCAGCAAUAGCACAUCAUAGGCCUCCCCUCUGUCACACUUUGAAGGACAGAUAAAGUGAAUAGGGAGAACAUGUACCUUUCAUCACGAUUGUCUCCUUUAAUGUGGUGAGAACCAUAUGUGUUCAGGCACCCUGCACCGCUUUCCCCCACUACCGCAACAACCUGCAUCAACCUUUUCAUCAUCUCCUUGAGAAAUGUCCCUGGCAUCAAAAAAAGUGAAUGCAUUCCGGCCGAGAGGAAAUGUAUUGUACUAAAGCAAUAAGGUACGAGAGGCUGUACUUUAUCGUCCAAUAAUGUAACAGUUCAGGGGCGUUGUUAGGCCCGACGCGGAGCAUUCUCAUUCAAUCAGGAUGGUUGAAUUUCAAUGCAAGUAGUGUGACGUUGUUGUCUUUAUACUGCAAUACUUAGAAAAUACAAAGCCACACUUUGAUGUUGAAGUGUUAGACUGUACAUAGUACAACCUUGACUAAAAAAAAAUCCUGGCUUUGUAAACAGUAGAAGAAUCUUGAGAGUGAGUUAUAUUUACAUUGACGCAACAAAGCUAUCAAUCCCAAACAAAUGGGAUGAUCAGAGAGUAGAUAGCGAGUCCAUGUUUGUUUUUCGAUGCACAUGCCAUCUAUUCGACCACGGAAUAACUAAUCAGAUUUCCAUUAACAGAUACCGCUGCAAGGCAAUGUUUCAAGAAACAUUACAAGGACACACCAAGCCCUAACAAAACAAAAUAGGGUAUACACACCAAAAGCAAUAAUUGGAAAUAGAGUUGCCGUAAGUCAUGAGCAUCACAUGGCUCUCACAAGGGCAACUUUCACUAUCCAAAUUUUUGUCCAAUAUUUUUUGCCAAGUCAAUAAGUUUCAUAUGAUUAAAUUAAUUUAUCUCAAUCAAACUGUUCAUUUGAUUGUAUCACAUUUCCUCUGACACACAGUAAGAUUCAAAUUCAGAAUAAACUACAGUACCACAGACAGAUAUAUUUCCUAUGCAUCGGUCAGAUCUGCAAAGGUUCCUUGGGCGGCAACAUAAACCACAUUCACCCUGUCACAAUGUGCUCCGAAAGUUCGGUCCUCAGUCACAAUUCAUCAUCGUAACAACACACCUUGUCACUGACAGAUCAGGGUUGUUCCUUUAUACAUUAUGCAGAUGAUACCAAGUUUUAAUGACUUUCCCCAAUCCCUUGCAUUGGUGAUAAAACAGCAGCUACAGGACUCAGGUGUUCUUAGUUGGAGCAACCUACCUCUCUCUAUUCAGAUUUUUCUGUGCAAAUCUAGAUAUAAACCCUACAUGCAUUAAACCUACAAAAAACCCUUCAAACACCGCAAGAACUCCUCCAUUCUUUGUUAACCCCACCUCAGCCAUGGUUCCAUGAUAGUACUGCUAGGAUAGUGUACAAGUGGUGUGCUCACCUCAACCUGACAUUGGAUAUACUUGCAUGUUUGCAGUCUGAGGAUAAAACAUCAUAAAAUAUGUUAGAAAACGUGUCAACCUUAUUCAACUCUAAAACACAAUUACACACAUAUGCAAGGGGCACAAAAUUGAAAUAUGUAUUAAAAAAGAGUUCAAUAUGUUUUGUUCUGUCAGAAAUACACUACUGAUCAUAGUCUUAAUACAAACAAAAAAAACGGGAGUGGGUGAAGACCAAAACAAAUUCUUUGUUGAUCACACAAGGACAAAGUUAGAUGAGAGAGUGUUCUGAUCGCUAUAAAGUGGACUAUGGUGCCAUACACAGCAGGAUCCAUAAAUACCUGCUGGCAAAUACUCAGCAGGCCAAUAUUCACCAACACGCACACACACUGAGAUGUGUCCUGGGCAAAAGAAUAGGGGUCCUUCCUGCAGGGGAGGUUGUGGCCACCCCACUGCCUCAUUGAUUUAUCCAACAGCCCGUUCCUGUUUAAAGCCCAGCUGUCUCUGUCAAAACAAACACAUAAACAUGUGGCAUGGACGCACACACACACGCAUACACACACACACACACGCACACUGAUGUUCUUCGAUACAGAUACUGCCAUUUGCUGAUAUUCUGCCAACUGCUGCUUCUGUCACUCCACCCCGUUGCUGCUGAGUUUGGCAUUACGCCAGAGGAGCAGCGAGCGUGUGUGUGUGUGUGUGCGUGUGUGUGCGCACGUGUGUGUGUGUGAGUGAGGACAGAAAGAUGAAUCUGGAGCCUAUUUGCUGUUAAUAUCUGCCGGGCAUCAUCUCAACUUCCCGCUGACUCUGUUCAUUAUGGUCACACAGCCUCCACCGACCCAUCAUCUCUGCUGAUGGCUACAAUCUGAGGAGAAACUGAACGUUCACAUCUGUGCUCCGUGCUGGGAUAUUUUUCUACCAAUACGUCAGUUGUGCAUAAAGGUCUUCUUUGGCUGUCAAGAGUUCUUUUUUCAUUCAGAUGUGGCCUGACCGGCUGCAGAAAGCCCCUGCCUGCAUCCACCUACAUGAGAUAGGAAAUCAUCCAAUAUUAUGAAAUUUUUAUCAUGUGAAAUAUGGAGGCCUGUGGCAACAGUAACCUAAGGGAACACAGCCCUUUUCCAUAUUUAGAUGCCAGGUUAUUCUUAAUCGUGUUAUGAGGUUGUGAGAUCGCCAAGGUUGCUCAAUUAUACAUUUUCUCAUGCCUUUCAUUCGUUCUGCCGCUUCUUUUUCUCUUUCUUCACCUCUACCCUGUCACGCAGAUUAUGCUCUCUCCCUCUAUCCUCAGCGGAGAUGCAGGAAUCAAACACUAAGCUUUGAACAUGAAAGGCAAGGGAGAAAAACAACAACAAGGAUGACAGAUCACUGCAUGUCUAAGUGUGUUUUUUUUACUGCGUUUCUGUGCGUAAAGGAAUCUCCCUCCAACAUGUGAAUGUAUGCACAUUUAAGAUGUCAUUUGGAUGUGUUUCAGUGUGUUUGUGGGGGCUUUCAUGAUUUGGUUUUGCAUUUACCUGUGUGUUCCCGCAUGUCUACAACCAUGUAAAUAUGAAAGCUUUGAUGUAUGUUCGUGUAGGAAACCUUUUCUAGUAUAUCUAAAGUCUUUUAUGGCAGUAAAGUGUUGUCAAUUCAUUAAAACUUUGGUUCUGCUUGGCAUGAGUCUCAGUCCAAGUCACACCAGUUCACCCUAGUUAACCCUAAUCCUAACCCUGACCUUCUCAGUAUAUAGUGAAAACACAAAUCUCAAUACUGCUGUACAAUGUAUUUUACUCAGGGCUCUUACCUACUCAAGCAGUUCUAACCAAAGAUAAAGCGCUGCUGUAAAAUGAUUUUAGGGUAGACUGGAGGUACAAUGCUUGCAAUAGAGUUCUGAUAGUUCUAACGCACAAAAGAGCAAUCCAGCAAGAAGUAAAAAGGAAUAAAGCUUGACAUCAAAUGACCCUGCACGCAGCAAGGGCAGGUACAGCAGUAUUCCUCUUGCAUAGUGGCACAACCUGACUUGAGAACGUCUUGAAUGAGCCAUUAGUGUGAGACUUAGCUUGUGUGUUUGGACACAGAUAGGCAAGCUUGAAACUGCCUGAACUGACAUUUACCUGCAUCCCCUCUGACCAUACAGUUAAAGUGCAAAAUGUAUUUAACUCUUUAAAUCUAAUGGAUCGCUGUGUUUGUGUCAAAACGUAACAUCAGCGUUGUAUUUGUGUUUAUGUUACAUGACAGCCCUUGUAUUGACCAUUCAAACAGAAGAAAACAGUCAGAGAAGCGACUCUUUGCUGUAUCCCUUUCAGUAUAGACGGAUUUCUUUGUAAAUAAUACAGUUAAAACAAUAAAACAGUUUAAAUGACAAAUCAAGCAACCACUGGUUUCAGUCCGUGAUGUCCAUCACCAGCGCUUUCUCUCUCACUCUAAGCUCUUCUUCUCUCCGUUUAAAAAUAUCUGCUCUCUUGUUUUCCCCUCUCUCCUCCGUCCGCAAAGCAGGAUAAAACCGGCUCGUGUUUGACUUGGCAAUGAUGCCUCUGCAGGAAGAAAAGAGAGUAAAUGAGGUGAGUACAAGGGGAAAUAUGGAUUUAUUGGUAUUGGGGUGCGUUCUGCUGUCAUCUCAGCACACGUUGUAGUCAUCAAGUGUAAUGUAUUACACUGUUCAGGUGGGGCCAGUUUCAGUUUUACAUGUAACAUCCAUCAUGCGCACUGUCGUUCAGCUUAUAACACACUCGCACGCAAGACGAACACGAGCACUCACACAUAUGCUGCGUUUAGAGUGAAACGGCGAGGCUAAAAAAUGACCGCUGCAAACAAAUAUCCAUCACAACAGAGGCGCCACUGAGCUGGUAUGUAUAAAACCCUGUAAUAUCAGCGAUCCCCCUGAGUACACAGAGAAUCAUCAAUGGCAACACUGCUCCCUCUCAAUCUGCAACUUUGCUCCACAGCCAGUUGUUUGUACAGAUUUUAAAAGUUCCAUUGUGAGGUUUUGAGGGUAGAAACAUACUCGUUCAAUGUGCAACUUUGGCCAUGAGAGACAUUUGGUAGACAAUGCCCUGAUACUUGGUAUUGACAUAAUUAUCUUGAGCACCGGUGAGCACCAGUGUAACCAACCCCAUAAUCUGCUUGAAAUGUUCUUGAUAGCUCGAUAUCAAAGAAAUACAAGCACCUCGUACUACUGAUGCCAUUGGCUUAGUGGCAUCUGUUGGUGUGGUUGCAGAUUGCAAACACAAGAUUACCUCUCCACUCACCCCUUCCUGUACCCGACUGCGGUGAUGCGAGCCCCCAAAUACAAAACCAUGGCAACGCAACAACAUUCCACGCUGAAAGGGGAAGCUAAUUAGUUUACUUAAUACCUGUAAAACCUGCAAAAAAUGUACCAGCUAUCCAAAAACCGCUGCCUCCCACUUCCAUACCAAAUAUUAUUGGAAAUCAUUUUACCCUGUACAAACAAUCAUUGUUUUAAACUUUUGAAAACAUUCAGUCUUCAUUGCACUUUUUGCGGGCUUUGUUAGAAUAAUUCUUAUUCGUUAGAAAUAAAUGUUUUCAGUAAAAGAAGAGAAAGUUCUACAUUUCUGUGUGUUUUUUAUUUUUCAGUUAAUUAAUAGAAUAUAUUCCUUCCACUUCCUAAUUACUUUUUAAGUUACUUCAAGUUUUGUUCAUUAAAACUAGGCUGGCAAUUUAUUUCUCAAUGUAUUAUUUAGUUAUAGUUCCCGAGAUUAAAGGCUUUCAAGAGCUCACCCCUGUAUAUACACGCUCUAUGUGACAUUUCUAACUGGUGAACAUAUUAUACUCGAAUAAGCGACGCGGAUGGCUGGAGGUGGGUCUUAUGACUCUAUGCUCUGUGACUUUUUGUCUGUCCCCCUUGCAGCAAAGUAUCAUAAUGGUUAUGUGAGCUCUUGAGACACAAUCAAAGGUAUUAUGAGAAAAAUCUGACAGCAAAACAAGUAUAAUUGAAAAAAAAAGACUUAUAUGUAACUAGUAUCCCCAAAUAUUUCAGGAACCACAACUAUAUAUUAUCUGUGGGCAGGUGUGUGUUCAAACCAUCAAAAUAAGUCAGUCAGUCAUUUUUGAGAGAUCUCAUCCUUAGAGGGUCGCGGGGGGGCACAGUCAAUCCCAGCUAACAUGGGGUGAGGGACGGGGUGCAUCCCAGACUGCUCCCUAUUCAAUCACAUGGCUGACAUACAGAAAAACCGCCAUCACACUCACAUCCACACCCCUACGGGUAAUGUAGAGUCACCAAUGAACCUAACCUAGGUGAAACUAAAAAUGCUCUUUGGCAGAAAAGGAGAAACGUAUUUUUAUACCUGUUUUGUAGGAAUUAAACGCUCACUGAAAGUGCAGGAUGAAUAUUAUCUUGGUCAUUUUCAGAUUAUUUUAAUUUUUUAGAAAAUGAUUUUACAUUAUCAGCUCCAACAAAAGGAAUAAAGGCAAGUUCCAUUUUACUGUGAAAACCAAACAAAUUCAAUAUUUUAUAUAACGAAUAACCUCGUCUAGCUGUUACUGAUAACAGCAGAGAAAAAAUGCUUCUGCCAGUAUUUAGUCACAAACUGAUUAGUCACCAUGACGGCAGACCUUUAGCUACUUUACACCGGUUGACUCGCACAACUGAUUUUGUCUUUAAAUUACCAGUCACAUACUGGGAAAUAAAUAACCUGCAUACUUUUACAAGUUUAUUUCUUGGAAUUUAGUUUGUCAGUUAUGUCACGUAGGUUUCUUUCUCUGUGCAUUUCGUAGGCAUUAACAGGGCUGAGUUGUAGACACAGAUUUGUCCUGAAGACUUUCAAAAUAAACAAACCUGAGACUCUCAAACUACACCAUUCCCUGUGGUUGUUUAACAUCCUCAUUCGGUCUGAUUUUCAACACCAAUGUACAUGAACUUACCACAAACAAAUAACAAGCAUUCGUGUCUAUGGACGUCACAGGUAUGUGAACUAUGUGCCGAACAGGAACAUUGGGAUUCCUUUUACUUCUUUUGUUGGAGCUAAAGUACAAAUUUUCCGUUGCAGGGCUAAUUUGAAAUUCAAGUAUCAUAUUCAGACUGAGCUAGCUGUCAACAGAUUCAGAGGACGUUCAUGACAUGAAUGCCGGGUUUGAUCAUCCCGACUUGAGAAUCUUUCCCGUUCAAGCAGUCUGGGAUUUUUAAAGGCACAUCUCCUCAAACUGUUUUCCUUUCAACAGUCCACUACUGUAAAAAAAUGUGGAACUCGUGUCCUCGUUGACCCUAAACGGGUGCACGAAAGAACCGCUGCAUAGGUUUCUGUUGUCUUUAAUUCUCAUUCUCAUUAAUUAACCUAAAACACAAUUUUGGUUUCGACAAGUGACCGAGACGAAUGGGAAAAGCUUUACAGAAACUCCUGGUGCACGAGGACAAGGACAGACAAACUGCAAUUAACUGGGUGAAACUAGCCUCCCACUUAACCCAUAACGGCCACCUCGAACAUCUAACAGCUACACAGA
ensembl:lncRNA